AUGGUGGGGGCGGAGAAGCUGCAGGGGAGGUCCAAGAAAAUGAAAACUCCCAGCGUCAGCAUCGCCGCAACGUCCGAGUCGCAUCCCAGAGCAGGUCAGGGUAAACGGCAGACGAGUGGCGUCGGCAGGAAAGAGAAUCUAGAGGCCAGAAAGAGUCCAGAGAGCAAUCUUAAAAAGAACAAACGGCCUGUAGAAGACAAGAAGAGCUCAGCAAGCUCUAGACCUUCAUCUGAGAAAAUCAACAAACCCAAACAGGAAGUGGUUUUAUCCAAAAAAUCAAAGAAUGAGAAAAACCGAAAAGCGUCUGAUAAGGAGGAAGAACCAGACGCUCAGGAGAAGUCAGACCUUCAUCUGCUUGCCACAGCCGCCUCACUUGCAGCAGGAGCCACCUUCAUCCAAGAAAUGGUCUCAAGGAGCGGCUCCACCUCGCCCUCGCCAGCUGAUAGCCGCCGCCGCAUCCUGCAGGACAGCGAGACAAAAUCAGGGAGCAAAGAGUCCGCCCUCGACGGCGCCGAGCUGAGCCGGAGGUCCUCCGUCAGCAUCAACGUGAUCCCUGCGCCGCACAGCCCCGAACAGAGAACGAGUCAGGAUGAAGAUGAGCUGAGUCUGGACCAAAGUGAGGAGGAGACCAACUCUGCAGCAGCACAGGAGGAAGAGGGCGAAGAGGAGGAGGAGGAGGUGGAAGGUGGGAGAAAGAGCCCUGAUAUUAGUGAAAAGAAUUCUGCAAGUUCUGACAAGAACACAGUAGAUGAAGAUGAUGAUGAUGAAGACACUCUUCAACCAGAGGAGGCAGAUGAAGAGGAGAAAGAUGAGAGCGGUGCUGAGGAAGAGGAGGAAAGAACAAGCGGGGCAAUUGAGACCGAACCAGAAAGUGAGGAGAGAGGAAGCACGAGCAGAGAGGCUGAGGAAGAGGACGAGGAAGAAGAAGAGGGCUCGAGUCAGGAGACGGAGAGGAAAAAAAGAGAGACCGAAACUGAAGAAGAAGAGGAGGAGGGUGAUGAAGGGUCAGAGACGGAGGAAGAAGAGGAGGAUGAACGUGAGACGCUGAACUCCUCAGAGGAGAAAGACGAGAGUGACGAAGAUGAAGAAGAGGAGACCAAAGAGGAUGACAUGGAGGCAGAGAGUGAAGAGGAGGAGAAUAGUAAGGAGGAGGAUGAAGACGAAGAGGAAGAAAGUGAAGAAGAGGAAGAAGACGAGGAAGAAGAGGAAGAAGAUGAGAAAGAAAGUGAGGAAGAAGAAGAAGAUGAGGAGAAAGAAAGUGAGGAAGAAGAAGAUGAGGAGGAAGAAACUGGGGAGGAGAAGGAGGAAGAAAGUGAGGGAGAGAAAGAAGAGGAAGGAAAUGAAGAGGAGGAGCAAGAAAUAGAAAACGAGGAAGAAGAACAAAAUACAAGUAGUAAUGAAGAGGAUGAAGAAGCUGAAGAGGAAGAAGUUUCCGAUACUGAUGAGGAGGAAGAGGAGGAGGAAGAAAAAGAGGAGGAAGAGGAAGAAAUCUGGAGGAAAAAAAAGUCAGCAGGAGCAAAGAGACAGAAUGUUAAAUCUGCACCGGGACGCAGAGGAAGGUCGGGAGGUAAAGGGCCGUCGGGGGGAGAGGAAGAGGAGUUCUGGGAUGAUGUUCUGCCCCAGUACCUUAAUCUGAAAUAA
ensembl:lncRNA